UACGUAGGGUGCAAGCGUUAAUCGGAAUUACUGGGCGUAAAGCGUGCGCAGGCGGUUGUGCAAGACAGAUGUGAAAUCCCCGGGCUUAACCUGGGAAUUGCAUUUGUGACUGCACGGCUAGAGUGUGUCAGAGGGGGGGUAGAAUUCCACGUGUAGCAGUGAAAUGCGUAGAUAUGUGGAGGAAUACCGAUGGCGAAGGCAGCCCCCUGGGAUAACACUGACGCUC
rnacentral:rRNA from 1 species